CCUGUAUUUGAGUUUAACGGCUCAAGCCUGAAUGCCAGCUACUACAGACCUGACACUUCGACUGGCAACUGUGGCUAAGGAAACAAACCUAAAACAGCAAGUAUUUUAGAUGUUUCUGAAAGAUUGAACUUGGACAGCAGGACAGAAGGGUCCUCCCUGAGGAGUGGCCCCAGUGGACCCCCAGGUACAUCUGUCACUCUUACAUUGUGUGUUGUACUCUUCUGUUAACAUUUCCAUAGAUAUUGUCCACAAGUUUAUAUUGUAAUCUUUUGUAUCUGUGAAAUACUUGGAUAGUGGAUUGUAACGCAAAAUACUUUAAACACCUAUGAAUGUUUUAUAUAUAUAUAUAUUUCAGUGGAGACUUCUCCAUUGAGGAGAGGGAGGAGGAUCCUCCCUAACAUGGUUGAAAAUAAUAAAUGUAGAUUGCCCACACUACUGUAAUGAAUUAAUGCCCUUAAAUAUGACUACAUUAUUGUCUUUGAAUAUAUCAUGUUCGUUUCCCUGGGUAAAGGGACAUUAGCACCCCCUAUCGCCUAUUGACAAUUAUUUCAGGGAGGAAGUUGACUCCCAUUCAUUUCCCAGAACGUACUGGCGGCCGGUGAAUAACAUGGGUUUCAAUGAGAGAGGGAGGAAAGUCCUCCUCUGAGUGGGUGUGACCUUAAGGCGUCUGAUUCGUGCAAAAAUCUAUUUGGGCUGCGCUAUGAACCAAUAAGCAGGAUCCCUGACUGGUAAGCAGUGUUGCCAGAUUGGGCAGAUUUCCCACCCAAUUGGGCUACUUUUAACCACGUUAGGCUGGAAAAAAUAUCAUAGCGCAGGAAAUCUGCCCAAUCUGGCAAUGCUGUCGAUAACAAACCCAUGCCGUGUUCCAAUACCCGUACUGUCCGUACUUACUAGCCAAAAUUUGAGUACGCAGUACGUUCCAAUUCAGAUCCGGCGAAAAGAAGUAUACUUCAAGGACCCGGAUGCCGUACUCAAAACGGGCUAAUCGUGAAGUGUGGAUCGAAGGACACUCCCCGUACUCAACGGCAGCCAUCUUAGCUACGUAGCGGAAGAGGCGGAGCCAGGCUGAGCUAAAGUCGGCGCAUUUUCCACAUAGCCUGCAUUAAGAGUCAUUUUGUAGUUUUUAUAGCUUUUUAUAGCUGCUAGGCGUAAAGAGUUCACCGUUCAAAGCGGGAUGUUUAUUGCGGGGGAGGAGCCACGGCGGCAGUCGUGAUCGUCAUUUCCGGUUAGUGCACCACGGAGUACUCGAUUUGGAACAGCACUCACAUCUGAAAAAUUUACGUAGUAGACAGUGCGGAUAGUAUUCUUCCUUUAAGUAUACUCAUGGAAGUACGGAUAUUGAAACACGGCACCGCUCUGCCUGCAAUGCCGCUCAGCCUGAGACGCAAAGCAGGUGAAAUCAUCUGGUGGAGGAUAAUGAGAUUCUAACAUUUGCGAAUAAAGUGUACAAUGGAAACAGAGUACAUUGUUCAUGUUUAAUUUCAAAGAAUUCUAUUCAUUGAGUUACAGUGCUAAGUUAGCGACCAAAGAAAAAGGUAGACCACUUCGCAAAAUCGAGAUCACCAAAAGCAAUGGCAACGUCAGUGUUGUGGGUGCUACAUGGUUUGCUAGGUACUCAUGGCUUACUGGUAGCAUUACUAGCAAUCGACUGUAUUGCUGGCCCUGUUUGCUAAUGAAUAAUGGCAAAUCUCCAACGUGGGCUGUUCAUGGUUUCACUGAUGUGAAAAAUCUUGAUAGGGCAACCAAACGCCACGACAAGUGUCAAGUUCACGUUGGUGCUGCUAUGCGACAUUCCUUGCUACACUGUAAAAAAUAAUUUUUUGGCCCUGUAAUUAUUAUUUCAAUUAUGUAUGUAAAUUCUACAAAGAAAUCCGAAUUCAGUGCUUUUACUUUAAAAUACCAGUUUUUAAUGUAGUGCAUUACUUGGUGAUUCUUUGUAAUUAUGUGUUCUCCGUUUUGUAUGUAAAUUGAAUCAUUCGAUCCAAGUAAUAUUCACUAAACCAGUUCAUUGGCCUAAUUAGUUGAUAUUUCCAAGUAAAAUGUACUUGAGUGAUAUCAGUGAACCUGGCAACUUUCACGAACAUUCGGAGCAUGACGUCAAAGCCCCUCCCCACAUUUGAAUGGUCUUUCGUCCGAGACGUGCUGUACACUCCAGUCCAAGUUCCACAUUUCAACUGGGUUGGCAGACUUUGUUGAAUGAGAUGGGGAAGAACGUGAAUGAACCACGAAGGUAAGUUUUAAGCGAAACAAAUGUUGUACGUUCCUGUUGGCUCACCUACUUAAGUCAGUUUCUCCGCACUGAAAGCAGAUGCGGCUGCGGCGCUAACAAAUAGUGUAUUUUCCUGCUAGCUAACUUUGCUAGCGCCACGAGGUAUGUCCAGGGUUUCCGACAGCACUUUACAGCUUAGGCGGCCGCCAAAGCAACACAUGCCUGCCGCCUUAACUAGCGUCUUCAAAAACAAAAACGGGCUGAAUUUCAGCUUGGGAUUGUGCACAAUUUAAUUUAUGCCUGCAAAUCCAACCCUUAUAAUGUGUGGAAUUCCCUCACACAUUUUACAGCGAUGUAUGUUCAACCAACGUGGCUGGAACCACUGUGUCCGAGUGUCUUGACUUCGACCCUGAACACACCUGUAGAUCUGAACCUCUCGCUAGCAGAACACACAGUGCUUUUACAUGGGAUAGCUUGGAUUAAACCUUAUAAAGAUUUUGCUACUCGAACGGACCAUGUCAAUUGCCCGAACGUACAUGGCCUUUAGAGAUCGGAUAAUGGCCGGAGCAUGGCUGAAUCCGCUACCCUAAGUGGCGCUGUAGCCCUUUCAUACAGUGGUUAUAGAACUUCUGGUUGACCUCUACUGUAAAAGAUGUAUGUUAAGUUGCACACUUCACGUUAGAAUGCAGUUGCAGGCUUACAUUCCCCAUGGGUAACUUUCUGUUUCCAUCUAUACGUGCUGUGAUGUAUGUAUGCUACAUAUGUUAUGUAUUCUCUGCAAUAAAUUCCUUUUUGUGUUUAAUAGCAUCAUCCAUUGCUUAGUUGAGUAUCUUGGAGAGAGUGGAGAGGAGCUGAUCAAAGACUAUCAGGACGUCAGCCAAGAAGCAGUGAAAGAGGACUGCAGUAAUCACAUGAUGCAGAUCAACGUCAUCCAUCCCAAUGUGGCACAGGAAAACCAAGAUCCUGUGUAUGUGUCAGUCAUCAUCAAGUGUGACAAACGCUUGCCUCCUGCUCAUGGGUGUCAUCUAUGCUGUAAACUUAAGUUACCCACUUAAACUGAAAUAUACGUUUGAAGUAUUUCAGAAGCCGUUUCUUGAGCUUGACGUCAUUACAAUGUCACCAAAGGUCCAGUUUCUCCACAAUAAACUUUUAGCGUGAGUGUUCCAGUGCUAUUUGUGCUUUUGUCCAGCACAAACAAUCUCUUUACUUUUGUCAUUUUUCUGACUGAAAUUUCAAGUUUUGCUUAGUUUUUAAGUUAUUUCUGUCCUGAACAUCCUGAGAAUGUCUACAAAGGUAGCCAUUGCAGUUUAUGUAUGCAUUCUUUGCUGUUCUGAAAAGUCAACUGUAACACUGUAUUCGUUUGUAUGCUGGAAUAUCAGUCCUAAAGUCAGUUGGUGCUUUGUCAUUCCGCAUUGAAUUUUUCAAAUCCUAAACGGCUUUACUUUUGAGCUUUUGUGUGUGUGUGUGUGUGUACACUGUUUUCAAAUUUGCUAGCAGGAAGUUCUGUGUGGUUAUGUUAUGUAUUUUAAAUACAUCUAUGCCAUUUCAAAUGUGAAAUAAACGUGUAUUUCAAACAUCCCUUAAGCUGCAAAUAUUUGUUUCUGG
ensembl:lncRNA